ACGGAGGGUGCAAGCGUUAAUCGGAAUCACUGGGCGUAAAGCGCACGUAGGCUGUUAUGUAAGUCAGGGGUGAAAUCCCACGGCUCAACCGUGGAACUGCCCUUGAUACUGCACGACUUGAAUCCGGGAGAGGGUGGCGGAAUUCCAGGUGUAGGAGUGAAAUCCGUAGAUAUCUGGAGGAACAUCAGUGGCGAAGGCGGCCACCUGGACCGGUAUUGACGCUGAGGUGCGAAAGCGUGGGGAGCAAACAG
rnacentral:rRNA from 1 species